UACGUAGGGGGCAAGCGUUGUCCGGAUUUAUUGGGCGUAAAGAGCGUGUAGGCGGCUUGGUAGGUCCGCUGUGAAAACUCGAGGCUCAACCUCGAGAUGUCGGCGGAAACCACUUGGCUAGAGUCCGGAAGAGGAGAAUGGAAUUCCUGGUGUAGCGGUGAAAUGCGCAGAUAUCAGGAAGAACACCCGUGGCUAAGGCGGUUCUCUAGUACGGUACUGACGCUGAGACGCGAAAGCGUGGGGAGCGAACAGG
rnacentral:rRNA from 1 species